UGCGUGACCGACCUGCCCCAUACACCGGAAUAGCUCCUGGAAACGGGUGGUAAUGCCGGAUGCUCCAGUUGGAUGCAUGUCCUUCUGGGAAAGAUUCAUCGGUAUGGGAUGGGGUCGCGUCCUAUCAGCUUGAUGGCGGGGUAACGGCCCACCAUGGCUUCGACGGGUAGCCGGCCUGAGAGGGCGACGGCCACAUUGGGACUGAGAUACGGCCCAG
rnacentral:rRNA from 1 species